GAUGAACGCUGGCGGCGUGCCUAAUACAUGCAAGUCGAGCGAACGGACGAGAAGCUUGCUUCUCUGAUGUUAGCGGCGGACGGGUGAGUAACACGUGGAUAACCUACCUAUAAGACUGGGAUAACUUCGGGAAACCGGAGCUAAUACCGGAUAAUAUUUUGAACCGCAUGGUUCAAAAGUGAAAGACGGUCUUGCUGUCACUUAUAGAUGGAUCCGCGCUGCAUUAGCUAGUUGGUAAGGUAACGGCUUACCAAGGCAACGAUGCAUAGCCGACCUGAGAGGGUGAUCGGCCACACUGGAACUGAGACACGGUCCAGACUCCUACGGGAGGCAGCAGUAGGGAAUCUUCCGCAAUGGGCGAAAGCCUGACGGAGCAACGCCGCGUGAGUGAUGAAGGUCUUCGGAUCGUAAAACUCUGUUAUUAGGGAAGAACAUAUGUGUAAGUAACUGUGCACAUCUUGACGGUACCUAAUCAGAAAGCCACGGCUAACUACGUGCCAGCAGCCGCGGUAAUACGUAGGUGGCAAGCGUUAUCCGGAAUUAUUGGGCGUAAAGCGCGCGUAGGCGGUUUUUUAAGUCUGAUGUGAAAGCCCACGGCUCAACCGUGGAGGGUCAUUGGAAACUGGAAAACUUGAGUGCAGAAGAGGAAAGUGGAAUUCCAUGUGUAGCGGUGAAAUGCGCAGAGAUAUGGAGGAACACCAGUGGCGAAGGCGACUUUCUGGUCUGUAACUGACGCUGAUGUGCGAAAGCGUGGGGAUCAAACAGGAUUAGAUACCCUGGUAGUCCACGCCGUAAACGAUGAGUGCUAAGUGUUAGGGGGUUUCCGCCCCUUAGUGCUGCAGCUAACGCAUUAAGCACUCCGCCUGGGGAGUACGACCGCAAGGUUGAAACUCAAAGGAAUUGACGGGGACCCGCACAAGCGGUGGAGCAUGUGGUUUAAUUCGAAGCAACGCGAAGAACCUUACCAAAUCUUGACAUCCUUUGACAACUCUAGAGAUAGAGCUUUCCCCUUCGGGGGACAAAGUGACAGGUGGUGCAUGGUUGUCGUCAGCUCGUGUCGUGAGAUGUUGGGUUAAGUCCCGCAACGAGCGCAACCCUUAAGCUUAGUUGCCAUCAUUAAGUUGGGCACUCUAAGUUGACUGCCGGUGACAAACCGGAGGAAGGUGGGGAUGACGUCAAAUCAUCAUGCCCCUUAUGAUUUGGGCUACACACGUGCUACAAUGGACAAUACAAAGGGCAGCGAAACCGCGAGGUCAAGCAAAUCCCAUAAAGUUGUUCUCAGUUCGGAUUGUAGUCUGCAACUCGACUACAUGAAGCUGGAAUCGCUAGUAAUCGUAGAUCAGCAUGCCUACGGUGAAUACGUUCCCGGGUCU
rnacentral:rRNA from 1 species